rnacentral:rRNA from 1 species
CAAGCGGUGGAGCAUGUGGUUCAAUUCGACGCAACGCGAAGAACCUUACCCAGGCUGGACAUGCAGGUAGUAGGAGGGUGAGAGCCUAACGAGGUAGCAAUACCAGCCUGCUCAGGUGCUGCAUGGCUGUCGUCAGCUCGUGCCGUGAGGUGUUGGGUUAAGUCCCGCAACGAGCGCAACCCUUGUCUUCAGUUACCAACGGGUCAUGCCGGGAACUCUGGAGAGACUGCUCAGGAGAACGGGGAGGAAGGUGGGGAUGACGUCAAGUCAGCAUGGCCUUUAUGCCUGGGGCUACACACGUGCUACAAUGGCCGGCACAAAGGGCUGCAAACCCGCGAGGGGAAGCCAAUCCCAAAAAACCGGCCUCAGUUCAGAUCGAGGUCUGCAACUCGACCUCGUGAAGGCGGAAUCGCUAGUAAUCCCAGAUCAGCACGCUGGGGUGAAUACGUUCCCGGGCCUUGUACACACC